AAAUGCGAUCAUACCAGCACUAAAGCACC
rnacentral:rRNA from 1 species